rnacentral:rRNA from 1 species
GACGAACGCUGGCGGCGUGCUUAACACAUGCAAGUCGAACGGAAAGGCCCUGCUUUUGUGGGGUGCUCGAGUGGCGAACGGGUGAGUAACACGUGAGUAACCUGCCCUUGACUUUGGGAUAACUUCAGGAAACUGGGGCUAAUACCGGAUAGGAGCUCCUGCUGCAUGGUGGGGGUUGGAAAGUUUCGGCGGUUGGGGAUGGACUCGCGGCUUAUCAGCUUGUUGGUGGGGUAGUGGCUUACCAAGGCUUUGAAGGGUAGCCGGCAUGAGAGGGUGAACGGCCACAUUGGGACUGAGGUACGGCCCAGACUCCUACGGGAGGCAGCAGUGGGGAAUAUUGCACAAUGGGCGGAAGCCUGAUGCAGCAACGCCGCGUGCGGGAUGACGGGCUUCGGGGUGUAAACCGCUUUCGCCUGUGACGAAGAGUGAGUGACGGUAAUGGGUAAAGAAGCACCGGCUAACUACGUG